UGAAGGGAAUGGAAGAACCUGAAGAAAGCAAGAUAUGGGAUUUUGUCAGCCUCUUGUACGAUUCAUAUGAAUUUGUCUCUGUGAGUCAUUUGAUUGAAAGGUAUUUCAUGAUAUUGCCUUAUGAUCUUAGAGGAUCAAGCAAGGCUUCUCCAAACAAAACUGAAGAUUUUACCGUCAUGUAUUAUUUGAGUGAACUCCCAGAGAGGAGAGCAUGGAAGAGGAAGAUAGAUGCAGAGGAAAAAGAAGAA
rnacentral:lncRNA from 1 species